rnacentral:rRNA from 1 species
GUCGUAACAAGGUUUCCGUAGGUGAACCUGCGGAAGGAUCAUUACACGAUAAUCCACUUUUAAACCCUGAACCUUACUGUGGGUUUCGGAGUAUCGCGGAAACGUGGUGUUUCAGACCCAACGGUACUGAUCGGGGGCAACCUCCAGGGGCUGUCUCUGUGAAGUGCCACUAGAUAAUCAUUAUCAACGCUUUCUCGCAUUUUUGUUGUUCUUGGAUUUUCAAUCCUAUUACAACUUUUAGCGAUGGAUCCCUCGGCUCGGGUAACGAUGAAGGACGCAGCAAAGUGCGAUAAGCUCUGUGACUGGCAGAUUUCCGCGAAUCAACAGAAUGCUGAACGCAUACUGCACUUCCAGGUUCUUCGGACCCUGGGAGUAUGUCUACUUGAGGGCGUUAACGCUCAAAUGUGAGACAACUGAUAGCUGUGCUAACGCGCUUGUUAUCAGUGUUUCGCGUCGUUGCGCGUCAAUGAUUGUGACUUAGUCCAUUGACGUGCGAAAUUUAUGCCUGUGGUUCAAAGCCAAGUUUAAGCUUCCGCUUAGCGUUUCAUUCUGUGAUUCCAUAGUGGCUUGCUUCCUAGGUUUGCCUACGGCUGUCAACGAUUCUUUUCGGUUGAUCCGAAUAAUUGUUGCUUCUCGCAUCAAGUUAGACAGGGCUACCCACUGAAUUUAAGCAUAUAAGUAAGUGGAGGAAAAGAAAAUGAACAUGAUUCCCUUAGUAAGGGCGACUGAACCGGGAAGAGCUCAACUUGUAAAUCCGGAACCUUGGUUCCUGAAUUGUAGUCUUAAUAAGCAUUACUAGUGAUGAGCCGGGCGUAAGUCUUUUUGGAAGAAAGCAUCAGAGAGGGUGAGAAUCCCGUAUUUCCUUCGCUCGGAUUUCAUCGCGUUCAGUGUGCUGUUUAGAGUCGCGUACUUUGGAAGUGGUGCGCUAAAUGGGUGGUAGUUUUCAUCUAAAGCUAAAUAUCGACUCGAGACCGAUAGCAAACAAGUACCGUGAGGGAAAGGUGAAAAGUACUUUGGAAAGAGAGUUAAAAGUAUGUGAAAUCGCUAAGAGGUAAGCGAAUGAAACCAGUUUAUUGCAUCGAGAUUGCAGUUGCUGAGGGGGACGUGUUUGCUGGUCACCGUAAGGGGCUGGUGGGUUCGGUAACCUGAAGGCAGCAGUGUUGCUCGGUGUUAAGAGUCAACUUCAGUUGGGUGUUCUGCGAAAACCGCUGUUUGUUCCACACUUCGCUGCGGUGUCGUGUGAGCGGAUGGUUGGGAGCAUUACCCCGACUGAGGACUGCGGGUGUGUGGCCACCUUUCUAUAAUUAUGCCGACAGCUUGCCCUACUCCUGGAGUGCGGUGGGUCUAGGUAUAAUGCGGGGAGAUCCAUGUGCUCUGUGAAGUUGACAAAAUAGUUUUAUUCGACCCGUCUUGAAACACGGACCAAGGAGUCUAGUUUUUGUGUAAGUGUGAGGGUGGCAAACCUUUACGCGGAAUGAAAGUAAGAGUUUGGAUUUUUUAGUUUUGCACAAACGACCGACUUCGAUCUUUUGAGAGAGGUUUGAGUACGAACAUAAUGGCUAGGACCCGAAAGAUGGUGAACUAUGCGUGA